rnacentral:rRNA from 1 species
CCUACGGGAGGCAGCAGUGGGGAAUAUUGCUCAAUGGGCGAGAGUCUGAAGCAGCAACGUAGCGUGGAGGAUGACGGUCCUCGGAUUGUUAACCUCUUUUUAUAUGGGAGUAAAUUAUUGCAUCUAAGGGAUUAUGUACGGCUAACUCCGUGCCAGAAGCCGCGAUAAUACGGAGGGUGCCAGCGUUAUACGGAAUAACUGGGCGUAAAGGGGGCGUAGGCGGGUUAGCAAGUCAGUUGUGAAAUCGUACGGCUUAACCUUAAAACUGCAUUUGAAACUGUUAUUCUGGAGUACAGUAGAGGUAGGUGGAAUUCGUGGUGUAGCGGUGAAAUGCUUAGAUAUCACGAAGAAUACUGAUUGCGAAGGCAGCCUACUAGACCGUAACUGACACUGAGGCGCGAAAGUGUGGGUAGCAAACAGGAUUAGAUACCCGAGUAGUC